rnacentral:rRNA from 1 species
UUGCAGAUUGCAACAUGUAGCAUGCCAGGAGACUUAAGUCAGUGGGUUAUGAAGCAUUACGACCCCGAAAUUUCCCAACUUGUUAUCCCAGAGAGGGGCAAGAUUCCAGUAGAUGCAGCAAGUGUUCACAGGAUAUGGGGUCUGCCAAACAGGGGAAGGAAGGUUUGCUACGAGAAUAGAGCAGAUUACACAUCCAAAAUGUACAAAAUCUUGAAGAUCAGUACGAAAGGCUCACCAACACUAACAUCUUGGUGCAAAAUGAUCAAGGAUAUGGCUGGGGCAGCAGAUAACAAUUUCCCGCGUGCUUGGUUGGCAGUUGCAUUCUCCUGUUUCCUUGCUUCUACCAUAAGUUUAAACAUAUCCCCACGGUGUUUUCCUGUUGUGAUGCAUGUGGAUGCAAUAACGGAGACGAAUGUAUGCUAG